AUUGAACGCUGGCGGCGUGGCUAAAGCAUGCAAGUCGAGCGAACCCGCGAGGGUGAGCGGCGGACGGGUUAGUAAUACGAUCGAACGUGCCCCGAGGUGGGGGAUAGGCGUGGGAAACUGCGCGUAAUACCCCAUGAUCUCUCCGGAGCAAAGGUUUACCGCCUUGGGAUCGGCGAUCGUCCUAUCAGCUAGUUGGCGGGGUAAAGGCCCACCAAGGCGAUGACGGGUAGCAGGUGUGAGAGCACGACCUGCAACAUCGGGACUGAGACACUGCCCGGACUCCUACGGGAGGCUGCAGCGACGAAUCUUCCGCAAUGGGCGCAAGCCUGACGGAGCGACGCCGCGUGUGGGAUGAAGCGUCUUCGACGUGUAAACCACUGUCAGGGGGCAGAACCAAUGAUCGCCCCCAAAGGAAGAGACGGCUAACCCUGUGCCAGCAGCCGCGGUAAGACAGGGGUCUCGAGCGUUAAUCGGAAUUACUGGGCUUAAAGGGUGCGUAGGCCGGCCCGCG
rnacentral:rRNA from 1 species